GACGAACGCUGGCGGCGUGCCUAAUACAUGCAAGUAGAACGCUGAAGGAGGAGCUUGCUUCUCUGGAUGAGUUGCGAACGGGUGAGUAACGCGUAGGUAACCUGCCUGGUAGCGGGGGAUAACUAUUGGAAACGAUAGCUAAUACCGCAUAAUAGCAGUUAUUGCAUGAUAACUGUUUGAAAGGUGCAAUUGCACCACUACCAGAUGGACCUGCGUUGUAUUAGCUAGUUGGUGGGGUAACGGCUCACCAAGGCGACGAUACAUAGCCGACCUGAGAGGGUGAUCGGCCACACUGGGACUGAGACACGGCCCAGACUCCUACGGGAGGCAGCAGUAGGGAAUCUUCGGCAAUGGACGGAAGUCUGACCGAGCAACGCCGCGGGAGUGAAGAAGGGUUUCGGAUCGUAAAGCUCUGUUGUAAGAGAAGAACGAGUGUGAGAGUGGAAAGUUCACACUGUGACGGUAUCUUACCAGAAAGGGACGGCUAACUACGUG
rnacentral:rRNA from 1 species